CAGGACUCGCAAGACUCCUACAACCCUGUGAACUUAACUAUAAGCACGUUGCCUUCGGCGGGUGUCUCGGCGAGGGUCCUCCCUCCCCGGGGCGCUAAGCCCGCCGGCAGCCUACUAUACUCUGUCUCUUUGCGUUGGCAUCUCGAGUACAAUCAAACAAGUUA
rnacentral:misc_RNA from 1 species